rnacentral:rRNA from 1 species
UACAGAGGGGGCAAGCGUUGUUCGGAAUUACUGGGCGUAAAGGGCGCGUAGGCGGCCCUCUAAGUCGAACGUGAAAUCCCCGGGCUCAACCCGGGAACUGCGUCCGAUACUGGAAGGCUUGAAUCCGGGAGAGGGAUGCGGAAUUCCAGGUGUAGCGGUGAAAUGCGUAGAUAUCUGGAGGAACACCGGUGGCGAAGGCGGUUCUCUGGGCCUUACCUGACGCUGAGGAGCGAAAGCGUGGGGAGCGAACAGG